rnacentral:rRNA from 1 species
GACGAACGCCGGCGGCGUGCCUAAUACAUGCAAGUAGAACGCUGAAGAGAGAAGCUUGCUCUUCUUGGAUGAGUUGCGAACGGGUGAGUAACGCGUAGGUAACCUGCCUGGUAGCGGGGGAUAACUAUUGGAAACGAUAGCUAAUACCGCAUAAAAUGGAUUAUCGCAUGAUAAUCCAUUGAAAGGUGCAAAUGCAUCACUACCAGAUGGACCUGCGUUGUAUUAGCUAGUUGGUGGGGUAACGGCUCACCAAGGCGGCGAUACAUAGCCGACCUGAGAGGGUGAUCGGCCACACUGGGACUGAGACACGGCCCAGACUCCUACGGGAGGCAGCAGUAGGGAAUCUUCGGCAAUGGACGGAAGUCUGACCGAGCAACGCCGCGUGAGUGAAGAAGGUUUUCGGAUCGUAAAGCUCUGUUGUAAGAGAAGAACGAGCGUGAGAGUGGAAAGUUCACACUGUGACGGUAUCUUACCA